rnacentral:rRNA from 1 species
GACGAACGCUGGCGGCGUGCCUAAUACAUGCAAGUCGAGCGAACAGACGAGGAGCUUGCUCCUCUGACGUUAGCGGCGGACGGGUGAGUAACACGUGGAUAACCUACCUAUAAGGCUGGGAUAACUUCGGGAAACCGGAGCUAAUACCGGAUAAUAUAUUGAACCGCAUGGUUCAAUAGUGAAAGACGGUUUUGCUGUCACUUAUAGAUGGAUCCGCGCCGCAUUAGCUAGUUGGUAAGGUAACGGCUUACCAAGGCAACGAUGCGUAGCCGACCUGAGAGGGUGAUCGGCCACACUGGAACUGAGACACGGUCCAGACUCCUACGGGAGGCAGUAGUAGGGAAUCUCCCGCAAUGGGCGAAAGCCUGACGGAGCAACGCCGCGUGAGUGAUGAAGGUCUUCGGAUCGUAAAACUCUGUUAUUAGGGACGAACAAAUGUGUAAGUAACUAUGCACGUCUUGACGGUACCUAAUCAGAAAGCCACGGCUAACUACGUGCCAGCAGCCGCGGUAA